GUGCGAAAUAUUACUGUAAACGGCCGCCCUAGCGUGAGGGUGCUAAGGUAGCGAAAUUCCUUGCCUUUUGAUUGUAGGCCUGCAUGAAUGGUUUAACGAGGGUUUAACUGUCUCUUGAUUUAAAAUUGAAAUUGUACUGAAGGUGAAGAUACCUUCAUUAAAAAGUCAGACAAAAAGACCCCGUGCAACUUUGAAAAUUAACUUUAUUCAGAAGUGAAAGAUUUUUAGGUGGGGCGCCUAGAAAGUAAAUCUAACCUUUCUGAACAUUUAAUUCUUUCCGGACUUGACCCGAUUAUAUUCGAUCAUAGGAGAAGUUACGCCGGGGAUAACAGGCUAAUCCUUUAGUAGAGCUCGUAUUGGCUAAAGGGAUUGGCACCUCGAUGUUGAAUCAGGGAUGAUAGCUUCAAGGCGUAGAGGCUUUGAGAGUAGGUCUGUUCGACCUUUAAUACCCU
rnacentral:rRNA from 1 species